UGUUGUGUUAAUACUGUACAGCUUAUUUCACAUACGACACCCCAGAGGAAGCAUCAGAAGCUUUCAGCAGUUCUCUAAAGACAAAUCUAGCAGUUGAAAAAGAAGAGCAGAAGCGGAGA